UACGUAGGGGGCUAGCGUUGUCCGGAAUCAUUGGGCGUAAAGCGCGUGUAGGCGGUUCGGUAAGUCUGCUGUGAAAGUCGGGGGCUCAACCCUCGAAUGCCGGUGGAUACUGUCGGACUAGAGUGCGGAAGAGGCGGAGUGGAAUUCCUGGUGUAGCGGUGAAAUGCGCAGAUAUCAGGAGGAACACCAAUGCGAAGGCAGCUCGCUGGGACGUACUGACACUG
rnacentral:rRNA from 1 species